GCAAAAAUAGUUUAAUAUUGUAAAAACAUAACUGUUACGCGGUUAAAAUAGAGGUUCAAAUCCUCUUUUUUGCA
rnacentral:tRNA from 1 species